UGGAGAGUUUGAUCCUGGCUCAGAUUGAACGCUGGCGGCAGGCCUAACACAUGCAAGUCGAGCGGUARCACAGGGAGCUUGCUCCUGGGUGACGAGCGGCGGACGGGUGAGUAAUGUCUGGGAAACUGCCUGAUGGAGGGGGAUAACUACUGGAAACGGUAGCUAAUACCGCAUAACGUCGCAAGACCAAAGAGGGGGACCUUCGGGCCUCUUGCCAUCAGAUGUGCCCAGAUGGGAUUAGCUAGUAGGUGGGGUAACGGCUCACCUAGGCGACGAUCCCUAGCUGGUCUGAGAGGAUGACCAGCCACACUGGAACUGAGACACGGUCCAGACUCCUACGGGAGGCAGCAGUGGGGAAUAUUGCACAAUGGGCGCAAGCCUGAUGCAGCCAUGCCGCGUGUAUGAAGAAGGCCUUCGGGUUGUAAAGUACUUUCAGCGGGGAGGAAGGUGUUGAGGUUAAUAACCUCAGCAAUUGACGUUACCCGCAGAAGAAGCACCGGCUAACUCCGUGCCAGCAGCCGCGGUA
rnacentral:rRNA from 1 species